rnacentral:rRNA from 1 species
ACUAGCAGUAAGAGUUUGAUCAUGGCUCAGGACGAACGCUGGCGGCGUGCCUAACACAUGCAAGUCGUACGGGGACCAGGGGGCAACUCUGGGUUCAGUGGCGAACGGGUGCGUAACACGUGAAGAACUUGUCCUUCGGCGGGGGAUAGCCGGCCCAACGGCCGGGUAAUACCGCGUACGACCGGAUCGGGGCAUCCCGAACCGGUGAAAGCAGCAAUGCACCGAUGGAGAGCUUCGCGGCCUAUCAGCUAGUUGGUGAGGUAACGGCUCACCAAGGCGACGACGGGUAGCUGGUCUGAGAGGAUGAUCAGCCACAUUGGGACUGAGACACGGCCCAGACUCCUACGGGAGGCAGCAGUGGGGAAUAUUGCGCAAUGGGCGAAAGCCUGACGCAGCGACGCCGCGUGUGGGAUGACGGCCUUCGGGUUGUAAACCACUGUCGGGAGGGACGAAGAUCUGACGGUACCUCCAAAGGAAGCACCGGCUAACUCUGUGCCAGCCGCCGCGGUAAUAC